rnacentral:rRNA from 1 species
UACAGAGGUGGCAAGCGUUGUUCGGAAUUACUGGGCGUAAAGGGCGCGUAGGCGGCCUUCUAAGUCAGACGUGAAAUCCCCAGGCUUAACUUGGGAACUGCGUCUGAUACUGGGAGGCUUGAGUGCGGGAGAGGGAUGUGGAAUUCCAGGUGUAGCGGUGAAAUGCGUAGAUAUCUGGAGGAACACCGGUGGCGAAGGCGGCAUCCUGGACCGACACUGACGCUGAUGCGCGAAAGCCAGGGGAGCAAACGGG